CAUCAAUAUCCCCAGAGACAUAGAUUUCUUUUCAAAUCCCAAAGACUCGAUUGGUCUCGAUGGUCUUAGUUUCUCCGAUCGACGAAUUGGGGAAGAAAAUGACCAGAGCGAUGUCAGAGACUGAUCUCAGAGAGCUGUCGGUCUCCAAAUGAAGACUACUAUUGCCGCCGAUUGCAAUGGAGGAGGAGGAGGAGGAGGAGAGAGAGAGGGGUUUGGAUUUGAGAUUAGAUUCGUUGGAUCGAAUGUUAUUUUUGGGGUCUGGAUUGGAUGAGAUUGUGGUUGAUGAGGAGUGUGAUGUUGUUGAGGUUAGGGAAUGGAAAUUGGGGGGUGUUGUUGUGGGUGGUGGUAGAUACGGCGGAGGUGGGUGAUUGACCGGUGGUGGUGGAUACAGCGGAGAUUUCAGAUCCUCAACAAAUAUGAGUGGGCUAAGGGCUACAAGUAGUUAUAAGGAAUCUGAUGGGAAUAAAGUUGUGAAAGAUAUCAUUUUUGGCCCAGGAGAAAAGAAAUAUCGGUUCUGUAAGGUAACCAUAAGCUUCUCUAUCAAUUACUCAAGAUUGCUCAUGUUUCAUGACCUAUUACAAAAUUCUGUACUAUUUUUCUUCUUUAGUAAAAUCAUGCUUUGGAAUAAUUUUGUCAAUCUGCAAAAUUAUUCAUGAUUGUCCA